UUGAGAUGUAAAAUUUGAUUAUAGAUAAUUUACUUGAGUAUUACGAGCUGUGGAAAUCUGUUUUCCACAAAAAUCUUAAAACUCAAAAGACUUGGCGGUAUCUUAGGUCCUUCUAGGGGAACCUGUCCUGUAAUCGAUAGUCCACGAUUUAUCUUUCCUUUCCUUGAAAAUAGUCAGCUUGUAUACCGUCGUCGUCAGAUUACCUUUAAGAGUUAAAUAAGUUAUCAGAAAGAAGGGUGUUUCACGGUGUCAUAUUUUGAUCUCAGUGGAUCGAAAGUUGGCCUUAGAACAAUUUUCUAGAUGUCAGAUCAAGGUGCAGCCCAUGGGAAGGUAGAGAUGGGUUACAAUAAUUAUUUAUUAUUUACGGAUUUCUUAUUGGAAUUAUAAGAACUAAAGGCGGACUUAGAAGUAAUUAAUAAGAAAAAUAGAAAGUUUCGGUGAAAAUGGCACUAAGAUGUG
rnacentral:rRNA from 1 species